AUUACUGAUGCCCAUGUGUCCUGGCAACAGUUACAUCUGCAACUUUGGGCACAGAAUAGGUUGGAAGACUGUUUCAAUGUUUUCCAUCAGGACAAGAUCAUACCGACACAGCUGGGGCCUGGGAAAAUAAGUUUCUCUGCAAAGAUCCAGGGCAGAAGUUUCUGAUAUUCCGUUCUCUUCUCUUUGGUAAAGAUGGCAUGAGUCACAGCAGUUCACCAUGAUCAGGCAAUCACCAUUGAACCUGUGAUUCCAGGCUUUAACUAGAAGUCUGGUUCUUACGAGCUGCCUCAGUCUGGUACCGCUCAGUGCCAGUAAUCCCAACUGCCAAAAGGUCAAGAGCAAGAGUCAUUUGGAUUCCUGCCACAUUUCUCAUUCAUGUUAAAAGCAAUGGAACCUGGCACUCCACAGAAACCAGGCAGGCAAUCAAGAGAGUCAUGGGGAGCAACUGCCAGAUGUUGAGGGUCACUGGAAAAUGCAACUGCUCAGCUGUUUCAAAAUGUCGUUUCUGGACUAGUGCUGGUUUAUGGCAAUGUGUUCACGAGUCUAGCAGUGUGGGAACCACACAGAUGAGAAGUGAGUAUUCCAUUAAGCUAACUGCAAUUAAUGUAAAGUGCUGCAUGGUCUGGGCUGAUGUCCUUUUUUUUGUGGGUGUAUGUGUUAAAAUGCCCUUUAUUUGCCAGGCACAGUGGCUCAUGCCUGUAAUCCCAGCACUUUGGGAGGUCAAGGCAGGCGGAUUACCUGAGGUCAGGAGUUCAAGACCAGCCUGGUCAAAAUGGUGAAACCUUGUCUGUACAAAAUAUACAAAAAUUAGCUGGGCGUGGUGGCAUGUGCCUGUAAUCCCAGCUACUUGGGAGGCUGAGGCAGGAGAAUUGCUUGAACCUGGGAGUCGGAGGUUACACUGAGCUGAGAUUGCGCCAUUGCACUCCAGCCUGGGCAACAGAACAAGAUUCCGUCUCAAAAAAAAAAAAAAAAAAUGCCCUUUAUUUUAUGAAAUAAUGGUGAUGACAGAUAUAUUUUUGUGGUUUAGGAUUUUUUUCCUAACUCAGCAAAUUAAGUAUCCCAAAUUUGUUUUUGAAUAUUUUAAAACCAGAAAUGUAUACGUUUUAUUUAUAACCGCUGAGCCAGGCAUGGUUGGUUGUGCUGGGCCCCUGUUGACUUCAGUAGGGAUGGCAGCAGUUCAAGAGGUUAAUGAACGGACCUAGAGCCAGUGAACAAGGCCUACAGUUUAUUGGAGGAAUUUACAUACGGGAACAGUCCAGUGUCAACAGGCCGGACAGGAGAACUGCAACCACGUAUAAAAAGCUUGCAGUUUAUACGGCACCUUCACCCCACCCAGUAACCUCCACGUGGCAACCCUCACUCUGAAGUGUUGCUAUCAGCUGUGUCUGCCAUCAGGUUCAUUCUCAGGGUAUGCUGAUGUUAUUGCUGUCAGGUGUAGCACACACCUGCAAUCCCAGCACUUUGGGGGGGCCAAGGAAGAGGCAGCUGGUGAACUUGAAGUCAUCUUUAGCAAAGAGACGUGGGUUGAAACUCGAGGUUAGCAUGAUGGGCAGUGAGGAGAUGGAAGCAGAAGUAAAGACUGUCACUGGAUGGGUCUGUCAGUGAAAAGGAGAAAAAUUCUAUAAUCAUCAAAAAUUCCCUAGAAGUUUUCAUCGGAUGGCAAAUAUGUUGAAGGCAGAGAAGGGAGCCAUUGAAGAAGGAACAGGUAAAGCUAUCAGGAAAGAAGGCAUCGGAGGGUUAUUGGCAGAGGAAGAUCCCCAAGGAGGGCAAGCAGAGGAGACAGCUUUGAGAAAGGCUGGGGAAUGCGCUACCCUGGGUCCAGAGGGAACAUGAAUGUAGUCUUUAUAUUCUUGUGAACUAAGAUCAUAAAACAGCUCUCUUAGGUGGGACCUUGAUCUAUGUACAAAAAUCCAAUCUAGCUCACCUCUAAGAGCUGAGAAUUUGAGGUGGGAAAUAUUUGGAGCAGAAGUAUAAGGAAUGACUACGGGGAGUCAGCAAGAGAUGAAUGAGAGCGUUCACUGGCCCCAUGAUGGAGGGCCAGGGAGACAUCAGAAAGCUUGCCUGGAUCUUGUGCUCCAUCAACAAGGCUUUAUAACUUUGCCAGCAAUGUUCCCAAGCAAAAGUGGAACUGACUUGGCCAAGACCUGGGGGAUGCACUGGGCAUUCAUGAUAGCAGUCAAGUGGCAGGGGCUUUGUUUCUGCUACAAGGGUGAAGUAAGAAGGGCUGAAUGAUAGCACCAGUGUCACUAGAAGUCAUGGAUUGGCCAGAAAAGGUGAGAGGCAAGCCUCAAGGUAUUUCUUAGCAGGAGCCAUGUGGUGUGACGGUGAGACAGGAGGCUGAUGAGGCAUGGGGAUGGGUAUUGGAAGAGCUGGAGAUGAUGGAAGAACUGCAGCACAGAGGUUUUCAGAAGAUUGAAGGGUCAGAGUCUGAUGUCACUCAAAAGAAGGAGCUGGGUCCAAAUGAUGAGUGAUCAAUGGAGAAUCUGAAGAGGAAACAGAAAACCUCACGCAAAGAGAAGCUGUGACCGUAAGCCAGUGAAGGUGCUGGGUGCUGAGAUCAAACUACUUCCUCCUCCUCCAGAGUCCACUGGUGCCCAGAGAAGAAAUUAAUGAAGACCAAAGAGAAACUGGGCAAGGAGGGAGAAGCAUGAAGCUGGCAUGGGGCCCAGCUGGGGACUGGCGUCAAACCUGAUGGGUCAACAUUUAAUUAUUGUUCCUGGAACUUCCUUCUGCAGAAAGAAUGAAGUUAAUAACAACACUGGGGAUAUGUCCUUUAUAGCAAAGCACAUUAUCUUUGGCUGCUGUGGAUGUAGUUACACUAUCAAACAGGAUAGGAUUUGAACUUGGCUACAGUACAGUAUGGUUGGCCUACUGAGGCCAUUUCAGCCCAUCACUUUCAAAUGCUGUGGUCACUCCAGGGGGCCUAUCUAGCUACCAUUUUGUAACAAGAUCAUCUUUUUUCUAGAAUUAUUUCCAUGGUAAUUUUACUUUCUCUAGCAAUGGUGAAAUACAGAUUUAGAGCAUUUAGAUUGGUUUUUGUAUCUGUCAGUCACUUCAGUUUAUGGUGCCCUCUGUAACUCCCCAUUUUUGUUUUGUGAGAUUUUUCCUCAUUGUAAAAGUAGUAUAUAAUUAUUUGAAAAACACAAAAUAAUAGGAAAUCGUGAUGCAAAAACACCUAAAAGUCCAAUAUCAACAGAUUGCCAGUAAUAAUUAUUUGGAGCAUCUACUUUUAGUCUUUUUUUCUGUAUUUACAUCUGUACAAAUACACAUGUAAAAAAUAAAUUGGCCUCAUAUUGUA